UACGUAGGUGGCAAGCGUUGUCCGGAUUUACUGGGCGUAAAGAGCGCGCAGGCGGUCGUUCAAGUCGCGUGUGAAAGCCCCCGGCUCAACUGGGGAGGGUCACGCGAUACUGAUCGACUCGAAGGCAGGAGAGGGAAGUGGAAUUCCCGGUGUAGUGGUGGAAUGCGUAGAUAUCGGGAGGAACACCAGUGGCGCAGGCGGCGUCCUGGACCGGCACUGACGCUGAGGAGCGAAAGCGUGGGGAGCGAUCCGG
rnacentral:rRNA from 1 species